rnacentral:rRNA from 1 species
GGGUAAACGCUGGCGGCGUGCCUAAAACAUGCAAGUCGAACGAGUCGUCUUCGGACGGCGAGUGGCAGACGGCUGAGUAACGCGUGGGUGACGUACCUGUUGGUGGGGAAUAACUGCCCGAAAGGGUGGCUAAGACCGCAUACGCCCGUGGAUUCGAGACCAUGGGGAAAAACCCUCUGUAGGAAAGGGUAGGUUCGCCGAGUGGACGCGGCCCGCGUUCGAUUAGCGUAGGUUGGUGGGGUAACGGCCUACCAAGGCGACGAUCGAUAGCUGGUCUUAGAGGAUGAUCAGCCAGACU